UCAAAUCAGGGAAUUCACAGCCAGAGGAAUCUGAGCUUGCUGGUCACGUUUCACCCACAGUCAAGGGCUGAGAGGGAUGAAGUCAUACAUGAGUCUUUUUAUCGGCUCACUUUCUCCACUCUUAAAAUCAUACAGGACCUUCUCUCUAAGAGAUCAAAACCCAAGUCACAGUUCAUAAUGGAAUCCACACAGCAUGGAACUACCCUGGAAUCCACACAGCAUGCACCUACCCUGGAAUCCACACAGCAUGGCCCUACCCUGGAAUCCACACAGCAUGGACCUAUCCUGGAAUCCAGGACAGUGAGGAAGCCUGUGCCUCAAACAGGUAACAGGAAUAAAAGAUCUUACCAGAGGACGAUGCAGGAAACAUGAAUAGGAAAGUACAAAGCAGUCAGACUUGUAAUCCAAUUUGAAAAACAAGAUUCAGUAUGAAAAGCAACCUGGAACAGUUGUUAGAAGACACUUGCCAAGGGAAUGAUAAUUUUUAAAGUUUGAGUCUACCAACUUCCAUGAGGCUAAUUCUUAAAUUUAUUUAAACGACUGA